rnacentral:rRNA from 1 species
UGAAGCCGGAAUUGCUAGUAAUGGCAGGUCAGCAUACUGCCGUGAAUACGUUCCCGGGCCCUUGUACACACCGCCCGUCACACCAUGAGAGUUGGGGAUACCCGAAGCCUGUGAGCUAACUUUUAGAGGCAGCAGUCGAAGGUAGAAUCAAUGAUUGGGGUGAAGUCGUAACAAGGUACC